rnacentral:sRNA from 1 species
AUUGGAAGCAGAGCUGCGAGUUAGGAAGCGGCUCGCUGGCAGCUGGGCACGUUUCUUUCCUGCGAGGUCGGCUUUUUUGAUUUGCUCUUUUUCACGUGAAAAUGUUCAGCUUCAUUUUUAGACACCUUUAGACUUGGUUAUCACUAUUUAAAGCCUUGAUUUUUUUAAAACAAAUAGUUUCCAUUUUAUUCAUUGAAACAGGGAGAGAACAAAUACCAUCUUGCUUUUUGGGCUGGCUUCCUAUUUCAAGGAGAGACGCCAAGGUAAUUUUGACCCAGAGGAGGAAUGAUGUAGCCACCUCCUAACCUUCCCUUCUUGAACCCCCAGACGUAAAGGGAGCAGUGGGCAUAAAAUGUGGGGGGCUGACCAUUUGCCGGUCCUGACCUUCCACUAGUAGUGAGACCAAUCCAGCUCUUGCUGCUGCUGUGGCUUCGUGAGGAGAGACGGGGUUUCACCAUAUUGACCAGGCUGGUCUCGAACUCCAGAGCUCAGGUGAUCCACCCGCCUCAGCCUCCCAAAGCACUGGGAUUACAGGCCAGUUAUGCCAGGAUUUACUAGAGAGGGUCAACUC